rnacentral:sRNA from 1 species
ACCAUUUACCCUGGCUAGUACUAGCAUAGAUGCCAUGCAGGGCAGUGAAGAAUUAUUUUCAGUGGAACCAUUACCACCACGACCAUCAUCUGAUCAGUCUAGCAGCUCCAGUCAGUCUCAGUCAUCCUACAUCAUCAGGAAUCCACAGCAGAGGUUGAGGUGGUGGAGGGUGUGGCUGGAGAAGAGGAUCAUCAUGAUGAACAGGAAGAACAUGGGGAAGAAAAUGCUGAGGCAGAGGGACAACAUGAUGAGCAUGAUGAAGACGGGAGUGAUAUGGAGCUGGACUUGUUAGCAGCAGCUGAAACAGAAAGUGAUAGUGAAAGUA